UAUACGUGCAGUAACUUAAUUCGUGAAUUUUGUUCUACACCCGUGAUCUCUGAGGAUAGGUUGUAAUACCAUAAUAAUUUCCUAUGGAGCCCACUUCGUAUUUUUAAGAUUUCAUGGGUUCCCAAUCCAUUCAUAAGGCAUAACCAUCUCCCACAUUCCACAACAAUCACUUGCAGUCACAUAACCAUCUCUCACAUUCCAUAACAAUGGCCGAUGGCAAGGCUGUUUCUAGUUCCCGCCCUAGGUUCCCUCGGGAGAAAGUUGAUCUGCUUUGAGCAAGCGUCGAAGCAUGUUAAGGCGAAAAGUCAUAAGGAAUUAGCAAACUUAGCACAUUUGAUGCGUCUUCUGAUGGACAUUCCAAAACCCUACCGACCCCCGGUGUGGGUGGACUUGAUGGAAGAAUUCAAAACUCAAAUCUGCCUCCCCACAGCCACCAUUAAUAUCCACCUCGACGACAUCUUCCCCGCUGCCCCCCUCUCCAGCCGCUUCCCCUAUGCCCCUCGCCCCAACGAAGGCGAGGAAAGUAGCAUUGCAAGAUACUGGCGCGUGAUGGGAUGGGAUAAGAAGGUGGAGAAGAAAUAAAACGGCUUGGUGUGGAUAUUAAUGGUGGCUGUGGGGGCAGCAGAUCUGAUGUUUGAGUUCGUCCAUCUUAUCCAUCCUCAUUGAGGGUCGGUAGGGUUUUGGAAUGUCCAUCAGGAGCCGCAUGAGAUGUGCCAAGUCUGCUAAUUCCUUAUGAGGUUUCGCCUCAACAUGCUUCAACGCUUGCUCAAAGCUGAUCAGCUUCUCCCGAGGGAAGCUAGGGCGGGAACUAGAAGAAGCCUUGCUAUCGGCCAUUGUUGUGGAAUAUGGGAGAUGGUUAUGUGGCUGCAAAUGAUUGUUGUGGAAUGUGGGAGAUGGUUUAUGCCUUUAUAAUGAAACAAAGAAUGUACAACUGUGAUUAAAAUAAAACUAUAGAAAUAUAACUAUGGUUAAAAGAUAACUGAAAAUGAUACCUGCCAGUAUUGUUAUCUCUCUUUCUAAAGUCUAUCGCAAUGCAAAGAUGAAAUAUUCUAUAAA